AGGCAGAAAUACAAUAGAAUCCUCCAUUUAAGUGGUUCUCGCUUCUCCUUGUUCCUGCUCCUAACUCCUCCCCGGGUAGUUCCCAAUGUUUGGCACUUUCCAUACUUCGUGGGUGCAACAUCAACAAAUUCGCUCAUGAUCAAGUUACAACCUAAGAUCUAUGACUAUAUUAUGUUAACUGUUCGUAUUUUGUUCAUUCCAUCGGUAUGCUCCCAGGUACCUGUAAUUGUGAUCUGUUUGCCAGAACCAAGGGGUCUUUCUGUGGAAACCUUCACGAGCAAUCGUCGUUUUUUGAUGGUUUUUCCGCUUUUCACAGCUGCUCUUUCCACACCCCCGGAUAUCUGGUGCCAAACCGUCGCCCCUUUCCUUAUAUAUCCGAUAAUCGAGUUUGCUAUCUUUGUGGCAUUGAUUGUACAAGUUCGUGAAGAGGGCUGGACGAGUAGAAUGAGGGAAAGCGGCUCGAUCGAGAAAAAAGAGGAGUAG
rnacentral:rRNA from 1 species